AGGGAUCAUUACUGAGUUUACGCUCUAUAACCCUUUGUGAACUACCUAUAACUGUUGCUUCGGCGGGUAGGGUCUCCGUGACCCUCCCGGCCUCCCGCCCCCGGGCGGGUCGGCGCCCGCCGGAGGAUAACCAAACUCUGAUUUAACGACGUUUCUUCUGAGUGGUACAAGCAAAUAAUCAAAACUUUUAACAACGGAUCUCUUGGUUCUGGCAUCGAUGAAGAACGCAGCGAAAUGCGAUAAGUAAUGUGAAUUGCAGAAUUCAGUGAAUCAUCGAAUCUUUGAACGCACAUUGCGCCCGCCAGCAUUCUGGCGGGCAUGCCUGUUCGAGCGUCAUUUCAACCCUCAAGCUCUGCUUGGUGUUGGGGCCCUACAGCUGAUGUAGGCCCUCAAAGGUAGUGGCGGACCCUCCCGGAGCCUCCUUUGCGUAGUAACUUUACGUCUCGCACUGGGAUCCGGAGGGACUCUUGCCGUAAAACCCCCCAAUUUUCCAAAGGUUGACCUCGGAUCAGGUAGGAAUACCCGCUGAACUUAA
rnacentral:rRNA from 1 species